rnacentral:rRNA from 1 species
UGCAAGUCGAACGAACUUCCGUUAAUUGAUCAGGACGUGCUUGCACUGAAUGAGAUUUUAACACGAAGUGAGUGGCGGACGGGUGAGUAACACGUGGGUAACCUGCCCAGAAGCAGGGGAUAACACCUGGAAACAGAUGCUAAUACCGUAUAACAGAGAAAACCGCCUGGUUUUCUUUUAAAAGAUGGCUCUGCUAUCACUUCUGGAUGGACCCGCGGCGCAUUAGCUAGUUGGUGAGGUAACGGCUCACCAAGGCGAUGAUGCGUAGCCGACCUGAGAGGGUAAUCGGCCACAUUGGGACUGAGACACGGCCCAGACUCCUACGGGAGGCAGCAGUAGGGAAUCUUCCACAAUGGACGCAAGUCUGAUGGAGCAACGCCGCGUGAGUGAAGAAGGGUUUCGGCUCGUAAAGCUCUGUUGUUAAAGAAGAACGUGGGUGAGAGUAACUGUUCACCCAGUGACGGUAUUUAACCAGAAAGCCACGGCUAACUACGUGCCAGCAGCCGCGGUAAUACGUAGGUGGCAAGCGUUAUCCGGAUUUAUUGGGCGUAAAGCGAGCGCAGGCGGUCUUUUAAGUCUAAUGUGAAAGCCUUCGGCUCAACCGAAGAAGUGCAUUGGAAACUGGGAGACUUGAGUGCAGAAGAGGACAGUGGAACUCCAUGUGUAGCGGUGAAAUGCGUAGAUAUAUGGAAGAACACCAGUGGCGAAGGCGGCUGUCUGGUCUGUAACUGACGCUGAGGCUCGAAAGCAUGGGUAGCGAACAGGAUUAGAUACCCUGGUAGUCCAUGCCGUAAACGAUGAUUACUAAGUGUUGGAGGGUUUCCGCCCUUCAGUGCUGCAGCUAACGCAUUAAGUAAUCCGCCUGGGGAGUACGACCGCAAGGUUGAAACUCAAAAGAAUUGACGGGGGCCCGCACAAACGGUGGAGCAUGUGGUUUAAUUCGAAGCUACGCGAAGAACCUUACCAGGUCUUGACAUCUUCUGCCAACCUAAGAGAUUAGGCGUUCCCUUCGGGGACAGAAUGACAAGUGGUGCAUGGUUGUCGUCAGCUCGUGUCCUGAGAUGUUGGGUUAAGUCCCGCAACAAGCGCAACCCUUAUUACUAGUUGCCAGCAUUCAGUUGGGCACUCUAGUGAGACUGCCGGUGACAAACCGGAGGAAGGUGGGGACGACGUCAAAUCAUCAUGCCCCUUAUGACCUGGGCUACACACGUGCUACAAUGGAUGGUACAACGAGUCGCGAAACCGCGAGGUUUAGCUAAUCUCUUAAAACCAUUCUCAGUUCGGACUGUAGGCUGCAACUCGCCUACACGAAGUCGGAAUCGCUAGUAAUCGCGGAUCAGCAUGCCGCGGUGAAUACGUUCCCGGGCCUUGUACACACCGCCCGUCACACCAUGAGAGUUUGUAACACCCAAAGCCGGUGGGGU